rnacentral:rRNA from 1 species
AGUCGAGCGGAUGAAGGGAGCUUGCUCCUGGAUUCAGCGGCGGACGGGUGAGUACUCCUAGGAAUCUGCCUGGUAGUGGGGGAUAACGUCCGGAAACGGGCGCUAAUACCGCAUACGUCCUGAGGGAGAAAGUGGGGGAUCUUCGGACCUCACGCUAUCAGAUGAGCCUAGGUCGGAUUAGCUAGUUGGUGGGGUAAAGGCCUACCAAGGCGACGAUCCGUAACUGGUCUGAGAGGAUGAUCAUUCACACUGGAACUGAGACACGGUCCAGACUCCUACGGGAGGCAGCAGUGGGGAAUAUUGGACAAUGGGCGAAAGCCUGAUCCAGCCAUGCCGCGUGUGUGAAGAAGGUCUUCGGAUUGUAAAGCACUUUAAGUUGGGAGGAAGGGCAGUAAGUUAAUACCUUGCUGUUUUGACGUUACCAACAGAAUAAGCACCGGCUAACUUCGUGCCAGCAGCCGCGGUAAUACGAAGGGUGCAAGCGUUAAUCGGAAUUACUGGGCGUAAAGCGCGCGUAGGUGGUUCAGCAAGUUGGAUGUGAAAUCCCCGGGCUCAACCUGGGAACUGCAUCCAAAACUACUGAGCUAGAGUACGGUAGAGGGUGGUGGAAUUUCCUGUGUANCNGUGAAAUGCGUAGAUAUAGGAAGGAACACCAGUGGCGAAGGCGACCACCUGGACUGAUACUGACACUGACGUGCGAAAGCGUGGGGAGCAAACAGGAUUAGAUACCCUGGUAGUCCACGCCGUAAACGAUGUCGACUAGCCGUUGGGAUCCUUGAGAUCUUAGUGGCGCAGCUAACGCGAUAAGUCGACCGCCUGGGGAGUACGGCCGCAACGGUUAAAACUCAA